CUCUGCCAGCGGUUAGAAAAGACAUUGUUUGUCUAAAGAGACAAGGGUGUGGUGAAAAUACUCUGUGCCAGUCAAGUGAACCAAAACACUCUCUGAAUUACUACACAGGCUGGAAAAUAAAAUUUAACUGACAGAAGAUCUGGACCCCACCUGUGCUGAGAGACAGAGAGAAAAAGAGUCACAGGAAUUGCCAUGUACAUUUGGAGGCAGUAACAUGCGAACUCUGACCACAUCACCGGUGUGAAAUUGCUGAUUAACCUUUUGACUCUGACAAUUGGGACUUCUCUCAACACCAACUGGUAAUGCAGAAGACCAUUAGUAGUUAAUAUUGGGACAUCCCGGCUCCAGAUGUCAAAAGUUGUAGAUGUUGAAACUCAAUUUAUCCAGAAGUUGGGGACGCCCUGAACUGUGUCCACCCAUUCUGAAAGAGAGAAUUAGGAGCACAACUGCCCUCUAACAAAAAUGGUACAUUCAAGGGGAAACUUCAGGAAUCAGUGUUGGCUUUUGGAACCCUCACCACCAAGUCACCUCUCUACUGCAUCUCGCCUCACAUGCAUUUCUGUGGAGUGCCAGAAGAGGAAUGGAAAAUAGCCAUGAAGUAAAAGCAGAUUCUGCUCCCAUUAAAGGCAAUGAAAACUGUGCUUUUGCUUCUAGUUACUCAUAAUAGCGAAGAAAAAUGAAGUGGAAACAAGCACAACAAAACACCUCUGCCAGCUAUCUACAAGCUAACCGUGCCUUCCACUAAUGAGGUGCUCUGGCAUUUUAAGACAGCUUCUUCCAGAAAUGGAAAAAAUACACUGAGUUUUUCCUUCAGUUCUGAAAGGCUAGUGAAAGAAUAAUAAAUUGUAUUUCAAAAAAGGGGUGACAGUCAAACUUUUAAUGCUGUCUGUGCUAUUAAAUACGUAAGGAUGCCCAUACAAUUACUUGUAAGUUAAAUGCUUUUACAUACAUAUUUGGCAGCUUAUUAAAUAUUGAUACUUACAUACCUUACCUAAUUAUUGACUGCAGUUACAGGGUCCUUUAAAUGACCAUA